UACGGGGGGGGCAAGCGUUGUUCGGAAUUACUGGGCGUAAAGGGCUCGUAGGCGGCCAACUAAGUCAGACGUGAAAUCCCUCGGCUUAACCGGGGAACUGCGUCUGAUACUGGAUGGCUUGAGUUUGGGAGAGGGAUGCGGAAUUCCAGGUGUAGCGGUGAAAUGCGUAGAUAUCAGGAGGAACACCGAUGGCGAAGGCAGGUCUCUGGGCCAUAACUGACGCUGAGAAGCGAAAGCAUGGGGAGCGAACAGG
rnacentral:rRNA from 1 species